rnacentral:ncRNA from 1 species
CGCAAGCUAGUAAGAUCCCUGAAAGAUGAUCAGGUUGAUAGGUCAGAGGUGGAAGCGUGGUAACAUGUGGAGCUGACUGAUACUAAUCGAUCGAGGACUUAACCAA